UACAGAGGUCUCAAGCGUUGUUCGGAUUCAUUGGGCGUAAAGGGUGCGUAGGCGGCGCGGUAAGUCGGGUGUGAAAUUUCGAGGCUUAACUUCGAAACUGCAUUCGAUACUGCCGUGCUAGAGGACUGGAGAGGAGACUGAAAUUUACGGUGUAGCGGUGAAAUGCGUAGAUAUCGUAAGGAAGACCAGUGGCGAAGGCGGGUCUCUGGACAGUUCCUGACGCUGAGGCACGAAGGCCAGGGGAGCAAACGGG
rnacentral:rRNA from 1 species